GAUGAACGCUGGCGGCGUGCCUAAUACAUGCAAGUCGAGCGAACAGACGAGGAGCUUGCUCCUCUGACGUUAGCGGCGGACGGGUGAGUAACACGUGGAUAACCUACCUAUAAGACUGGGAUAACUUCGGGAAACCGGAGCUAAUACCGGAUAAUAUAUUGAACCGCAUGGUUCAAUAGUUAAAGACGGUUUUGCUGUCACUUAUAGAUGGAUCCGCGCCGCAUUAGCUAGUUGGUAAGGUAACGGCUUACCAAGGCAACGAUGCGUAGCCGACCUGAGAAGGUGAUCGGACACACUGGAACUGAGACACGGUCCAGACUCCGACGGGAGGCAGCAGUAGGGAAUCUUCCGCAAUGGGAGAAAGACUGACGGAGCAACGCCGCGUGAGUGAUGAAGGUCUUCGGAUCGUAAAACUCUGUUAUUAGGGAAGAACAAAUGUGUAAGUAACUAUGCACGUCUUGACGGUACCUAAUCAGAAAGCCACGGCUAACUACGUG
rnacentral:rRNA from 1 species